rnacentral:rRNA from 1 species
GACGAACGCUGGCGGCGUGCCUAAUACAUGCAAGUCGAACGCUUCUUUCCUCCCGAGUGCCUGCACUCAAUUGGAAAGAGGAGUGGCGGACGGGUGAGUAACACGUGGGUAACCUACCCAUCAGAGGGGGAUAACACUUGGAAACAGGUGCUAAUACCGCAUAACAGUUUAUGCCGCAUGGCAUAAGAGUGAAAGGCGCUUUCGGGUGUCGCUGAUGGAUGGACCCGCGGUGCAUUAGCUAGUUGGUGAGGUAACGGCUCACCAAGGCCACGAUGCAUAGCCGACCUGAGAGGGUGAUCGGCCACACUGGGACUGAGACACGGCCCAGACUCCUACGGGAGGCAGCAGUAGGGAAUCUUCGGCAAUGGACGAAAGUCUGACCGAGCAACGCCGCGUGAGUGAAGAAGGUUUCGGAUCGUAAAACUCUGUUGUUAGAGAAGAACAAGGACGUUAGUAACUGAACGUCCCCUGACGGUAUCUAACCAGAAAGCCACGGCUGACUACGUG